rnacentral:rRNA from 1 species
UCAGACGAUGCGUCAUGCAUAUCAAUAAGCGGAGGAAAAGAAACUAACUAGGAUUCCCUUAGUAACGGCGAGUGAAGCGGGAAGAGCUCAAAUUUGAAAUCUUCAAGGUUUUACCUUGACGAAUUGUAGUUUAAAGAAGUGUUUUCUGUUGAAGUUUUGGUAAAAGUUCUUUGGAAUAGGACAUCAUAGAGGGUGAGAAUCCCGUAUUUGACCAUUAUUUUCAGCUGUGUGAUACACUUUCAAAGAGUCGGAUUGUUUGGGAAUGCAGUCCAAAAUGGGUGGUAAAUUUCAUCUAAAGCUAAAUAUUGGCGAGAGACCGAUAGCGAACAAGUACCGUGAGGGAAAGAUGAAAAGAACUUUGAAAAGAGAGUUAAACAGUACGUGAAAUUGUCAAAAGGGAAGCGUUUGACACCAGUGUUGUUUUUCUCGAAAAUCAAUUAAAAAUGGAUUCAUGCCAAGUUGUAUUGACCUUAUCAGCUUGCAAUUUGGUUUUGGGUUCUUUUUUGAUGCACUUUUCGGUUAACAAGUCAACAUCAAUUUCCUUUGCUGUAAAAGGGCAGAAGGAAGGUGGCUUCAAUUUCGGUUGAAGUGUUUACAGCCUUUUGUCUCUGCAGUCGGGGAGAUUGAGGUCUGCAGCGUAGAUCCUUCGGGGUUAGAUACAUUUGUGCUAAGUUAUAGCUUUUCAUAGACAACUUGUUGACUAUGUUUAGUCUUGUAACUUACCCGCUUAUGCUAUUUUACCUACGCUUAGGAUGUUGAUAUGCAUGACUGAUAU